AAAUGUGCAGUGUCUAAGGCAGUUUGGAACUCUGAGACAGACAGAGCAUGCCUGCAGAAAGAGCAUAUUUGAGCUUGGGGCCAGGGCCGAGAUUAUCUGACACGCAUCGAGUAGGUGGAACAUGAAGAGUGGGCAGGCAGAAUGGGCCAGCACUGGCACGAAUGGGCUGGCAUGAUGGGGAACGGGUUGGAUGUGGAGCUGAGUCACCACAUGGAGCUGAAACUGUUUGUGGGGUGCACAGAAACACCCACCCAGCGUGGACCUGGAGCGCCACAUGAGAGCCCAGAUACUGCACAGAAUUGGAGCGCGGUGUGAGAGCCAAAAGCUGUUUAAAAUCUAAAGCAGUUUUAUGUGAAUCA